rnacentral:lncRNA from 1 species
UGAAACGAUAAAAUACAAUAAGUAUAAAAAAGAAAGAUAUCGUAGCAUACUAGAAAAUAGACAAUUUCCAGUAAAGCAUCAUAAAUGUGCUUUACAUUUUUUAAUACAUGGUAGACCUGAUUCUCAAGUUUCUACAGAUCCAAGAAUGUGGAGUGUACAAGCAAAUAUAUUAAGAGAUGGUUUGAUGCAAAAAGGAAUGUAUGAUAAAUAUGUAGUACAUGCUCCGUAUGUAAGUAUGCUAAAUUUUUGUGGUAGCACAGGUAUGAAUACUCACUCCACUUAUGCAUUUCUUAUUGCAAAUAGAAUUUCUGUAACAUUAAAAAAUAUUUUAAAUGAUGACACAUGUGGGUCGUAUGAUGUUUCUUUACAUUCCCAUUGUGUUGGUAUGAACAUAACUAGAAUAUUUUUAACAUUAAAUGAUUAUAUAUGGGAUACAUUAGAUAUCACUCAUAUAAAUUUUGAGUUCGAAUCAGAAAUAUUAGCAAUUUUAGAUGAAAAUUUUAGAUUAACGUUAGAGGAUGUUGAUAUAGUACAAGAUAAAACUAACAUUGAAUUAAAAAAAGAUCAAUACUAUAAGUUUUGUACUCAUUCACUUUAUAAAAAUUAUGUACCUACCGAAAAUCAAAGAUACAAUAUAUUUAAUUUCGAUUAUAUAUUUUAUGAUUAUAAUUUCAAUUAUGAACAACUUAUAAAAAUUAAUUAUGAUGGGAUUUUUUAUACAGACAUUACGUUUGUAGGUCAGGCUAGAGAUGAACAACAUCACAUCUAUGGUAGUAAUGUUGUUUUUGAUGAUAAUGUAGAUCCCAAUUAUGAUUAUAAAAAUGAUAAUUAUGGUAAUUCCACAGAUGACAAUUUUUAUAGCGAAUAUGUUCAUGGAACUAGUACUUCUCAUCGUGCAAAAGUUCUAAGAUCAAUUAAAAGAUUACAUUAUUAUUUAUUACAUAUAAAAAUAAGAUUAGGAGCUAUUACAUCUACAGUACCACCAUUAACUGGUAAUUUAAGUCAUAUGGAAGAUAUUAAAGUAGGUUAUCAAAAAUAUAUAAAAUAUAAAUGUUUACUAAAGGUAACUCCAGAAUGUCUUAAAUAUAAGAAAUUAAAAACAAGAGAUAUGCAAGAAAUGCUUCAUAUGGUAAAUCCACAAAUGUUUUGUACAUUAGCUCUAUGUGAAAAGAUUAAUUAUAAUUAUUUUAAAAACUGUGGUUCAUUAAUUAGUUAUUUUAAUAAAGUAAGUUAUUAUUCAGAUUUGGAUAAUGACGAAAUGAUUAGUAUGCACACAGCUCUAGGUUUAUAUUCAUCUUUAUAUAUGAGAUCUUUAUCUUAUUAUAUUUUAAAUUUUAGAAGUGAAUAUUAUCUUCGUACUUAUAAUAUACCAGUUCAUUUUUCUAAUAUUAAUAUAUCUGAUAAUGCAGGAUUUUUUGAUUAUUUAAAAAAUAAAAACGCCUGUGCUAUUAUUGAUAAAAGACAUUUAGAACGUUUUGUUGCAUAUCUAAAUGAAAUAAUUAAUUAUGAACAAAAACCUAAACCAUUUAUAGCAGAAAGAUAUGUUUAUAAAAAUCCUUAUUUGGAACAUUUUGUUGGUCCUUUUGAAAGUGGUAAUACAAUGUAUAUGCCACAUACUAUCAUAGGAACAGCUAGAUCAUUUUUACUUAUAUAUUCUUAUGACAUAUAUAGACAUAUAGCAACAAAUAGUUUUGAUUUUGAAGUUACAAAUACACAUUGUAAUGAAUAUUAUAAUGAUUUAGAUCCUUUUAUUUAUUAUAAUUGGCUAACUUAUGUGGAUAAUCAAACACACAUGGAUAAUUUGGAUUUUAUGCAUGAUGUUGUAGUUUAUUCAGAAAAUCUAAACAUGAAUUUAGUAGAAAAUAUGUUUGAUCUAUUUAUUUCGUCUCAUUAUGUAAAAGUUUUUAUAUUUCAUAAACUGAAUUUGCAAGAUCAUUAUCGAUUUGUUUUUAAAAAACUUGAAAGUUUUUCAUUACCAGUUACUGGAUUUGUAAUAAAACAACAAACAAGAAAACCAAAAAUAUUUGAUAUAUUCAUACAUAAUGAAUUAACAGAAACAGAACAUGCUGUAUAUGAAUACAUAGGUAAAUAUUCAAAUUUUCUACAAAAUUAUAUAAAUACAAAAGCAUAUUAUAUUAUAACAGAAUCUUUAAGCUUAUUUAGUCAAACCGCUUUUAAAGAUAUAUAUAAUCAAUUUAUAGCUGAAUUAAAACGUGAAAUAAGAAAAAUAUUAUGUAUCUUAAAAGACAACAACACGUUUGACGAAAUUAGAUACGAACUACAACGUGCAUAUAAUUUAAAAAAUAUGUGUAAUGAUAAAGACUUAGAAGAAUAUUUAUACAAUGAAUUAGACACAUUUAGUACUUUCAAAAACUUAUGUAUAAAAACAUUAAGUUCUUAUUAUAUAGAUAUGAUGAAAGCAUAUAUUCAACAUUAUGGUUAUUUAUUUUUUGUUAACCGCGAUAUAUCAUUAUGUACUUUUUUUCAAAAAGUAGACAUAUCUGAUGCAUCAAAUGAAAGAGUACAUUAUGUACAAUUUGUUUUAAAAAGUGUACUAUAUGGUCAAAUCGAAGACCAUUUAAAUGAAAGCAAUAAUAUUGUAAACUCAUGUUUAUUUACUACAGAAGAAUCUUAUAAAUUAUCUUAUAUAAGCUAUUUCUGUUCUUAUAAUCAUCGCUAUAAUUUCACAUUCAAAAAACAAUACGUAUCCUAUGAUAUUUAUAGUGUAAAAUCAUUAAACGAUUGUAAUUUGGAACGAUAUGCUCAUUUUAAAUUAUGUGAAAAUGCAUUUUUAUUAACUAGAUUUUUUAAAUCUAAUUUAGAUGUUGUUAUAUCAGAAUUACACAAAAGGGAGAAAAAACGAAUGACAAAAAUGAAAAAAAAUAUCGAAAAAAAUAUAAAAUAUACAGAUAUUUUUACAUUAAAAAAUGAUUCAUUAGUUACAAUAUUGCAUAGAAACAUUCCAACAAUAAAAGUAUUUUCAAUUCAUGCUUGCUUUAAAGUUUGUAAAAAUUUUUAUACGAAAAAUCCGUUUAUAUUUAAUAACACAAGCGAAAGUAGCACAACAUAUGGAUAUACAAAGAGACAGACAGAGACACAAACGGAUGCAUGCGAACCAAAUAUUUCUACUAACGUAUUCGAAGAUCCUGAUUUUCAUAUGUUCUGUGUUAAAGUACAUUUUCCUGCAUUUACUUAUGCAAAAAUAAUAGAUAGUAUGAAUAAUAUAUAUUUAAGAGGAAUACACAAAUUAAUCAAAAAUAAACACUUUUUAUACGACCUAAACGUAGAUUAUAGUAAUAAUUAUUUAUAUGACAACAUUGUAUAUGUAUUUGAUAAAAUAGCAUAUGUAUAUAAUGAAAAAAUGUUAUAUAAACGUAAUAAUAUAAAUACUGAAACUUUUAUGAUACCACAGACCGUUACAUGGGGUUUCUUUGAUUAUUUAUUAGGAUAUCAUUCACAAACAAAAUUUAAUAAUGAGUUCUUUUUAAGAUCUUUCUUUUAUGAAGAAAAAGUAAAUAUGGUUUACCCUGUUGUAAUGAAUAUUUAUAAUGAUUUUAUGAAACACAUUGUCAUUUUUUUUGAUUUAUUUAAAGUGAUGAAUUAAGUAGUGUUUAUAUAUAUGAUUAUUUUUCCAGG